rnacentral:rRNA from 1 species
CCUACGUGAGGCAGCAGUGAGGAAUAUUGGUCAAUGGGCGGAAGCCUGAACCAGCCAAGUAGCGUGCAGGAUGACGGCCCUCCGGGUUGUAAACUGCUUUUAUACGGGAAUAACGGGCCUUACGUGUAGGGCUUUGCAUGUACCCUAUGAAUAAGGACCGGCUAAUUCCGUGCCAGCAGCCGCGGUAAUACGGGAGGUCCGGGCGUUAUCCGGAUUUAUUGGGUGUAAAGGGAGCGUAGGCCGCAUGUCAAGCGUGCUGUGAAAUGUCCCGGCUCAACCCUGGCCUUGCAGCGCGAACUGGCGUGCUUGAGUCCGCGGAAAGCAGGCGGAAUUCGUCGUGUAGCGGUGAAAUGCUUAGAUAUGACGAAGAACCCCGAUUGCGAAGGCAGCUUGCUGCAGCGGAACUGACGCUGAUGCUCGAAAGCGCGGGUAUCGAACAGGAUUAGAUACCCUUGUAGUC